rnacentral:rRNA from 1 species
UACGAAGGGGGCUAGCGUUGCUCGGAAUGACUGGGCGUAAAGGGCGCGUAGGCGGCUCAUACAGUCAGGCGUGAAAUUCCUGGGCUCAACCUGGGGACUGCGCUUGAGACGUGUGGGCUUGAGUGGGGAAGAGGGUCGUGGAAUUCCCAGUGUAGAGGUGAAAUUCGUAGAUAUUGGGAAGAACACCGGUGGCGAAGGCGGCUCACUGGCCCGGUACUGACGCUGAGGUGCGAAAGCGUGGGGAGCAAACAGG